GUGUCAGCAGCCGCGGUAAUACGUAGGUGGCAAGCGUUGUCCGGAUUUACUGGGUGUAAAGGGUGCGCAGGCGGAUCUGUAAGUCAGAGGUGAAAUCUCACAGCUUAACUGUGAAACUGCCUUUGAUACUGCAGAUCUUGAGUUCGGGAGAGGUUGAUGGAAUUCCAGGUGUAGCGGUGAAAUGCGUAGAUAUCUGGAAGAACACCAGUGGCGAAGGCGGUCAACUGGCCCGUAACUGACGCUCAGGCACGAAAGCGUGGGUAGCAAACAGGAUUAGAAACCCCUGUAGUCC
rnacentral:rRNA from 1 species